rnacentral:rRNA from 1 species
UACGGGGGGGGCAAGCGUUGUUCGGAAUUACUGGGCGUAAAGGGCUCGUAGGCGGCCAACUAAGUCAUACGUGAAAUCCCUCGGCUUAACCGGGGAACUGCGUCUGAUACUGGAUGGCUUGAGUUUGGGAGAGGGAUGCGGAAUUCCAGGUGUAGCGGUGAAAUGCGUAGAUAUCGGGAGGAAUACCAGUGGCGAAGGCGGCUUCCUGGCCUGUUCUUGACGCUGAGGCGCGAAAGCUAGGGUAGCAAACGGG